CAUAAUGGAAGUUCAGAUCAUGACCCUCUGCUUGGAGAGAACAAAGCCAGGGAGGAAUAAAAGUUCCUCCUACAACAAGCUCUGAUACCAGAAGCUGGAUGGAAUGGUGUCCUCUGGACCUUUCUUAUAUAGGAUGGGGAAAGAAAGGACUGCCUCAAGCUGAAUUCCAGGUGCCAAAUCUUCUGGGUUUUCAUUCCUGUGGUGGUGGGCUUUUCUUUCAAACUGGCCACAUGUGGUGUGUGGAUUGCUGGUGCUGUUUGGGAUCUCAUAUCAAAUGCUGCUACCUAAUCCCAGACGGGCCUUGGCGGGCCCACACCUGCAGCUGAUUGAAUCCUCCCGGAGUACAAAGGCCUGAUUUACAGCAUCAAGGAUACAGGGCCUGGUUGCAGCUGGGCUCCAGCAGGAAAAGGAAGUUGUUCAUCAUCUUGUGUGCAUUUCAUUAACAAUAGUGUACCCGAUAUGUAGCUUAUACAAUAAUUUCAAAUCACUGACAGAGAGCAUUAUGGUAUUUGGCAUUACUAGGAAAAAUACUUCAGGAUGGGCAAAUUAAAUGUGAGCGUGAGGUUUUCGUGUGACCCAGAGAAGUUACACAAGCUGAUUUACACUACAUGGGCUAGUCUUGAAAUAUUUCCAUCUUCCUUUAUCUUUGCCCCAUUUCUUUCCCUUUAUCUGUCGAGCAGACUGACAUAGCACAGUGAGCAUUAAUGUAUAGGAAUGAGGGUAAGACACUCAACUCAAAGUUAAAGCCCUUUUUUUCUGGCACAAGAAUGACAAUGUAGAUAAAAUGAUUGUUGUGCUUAACAUAGAACUUAUAGUAUAGAAAAUUCACAUAGAAAUUGGAUGUGGGAUACCAUUUGCCUGAUCUGGUUAAGAUGCUAAGUGACCUAAAUUCCCAUGAAUUCCAUAGGAGUUGUGGGUGCUCAGCAUCUUACAGGAGGCAUCUGGCACACUCUACCAUUGGAUAGCCUUUCAACGUAGUCAUUUUUGAAACACUUGUGAGUAACCACUCAAUAACUUGGCUCAACUCAGAGGAGCAAUUUUUAUUUUUGAUGUUGUUUCUCUUAUAGUAUUCAAUUGUAAUCCCUUUUAUUGAGCUGCCUUGCCAUUUUUAAAUGGAAAAUAAACAUUGCCAAACAUCCUUUUGAGAAUACGAGGUCCUCUUUCCCACUGGAGCCUGAUAAAACUCUACUACGUGGGCUUGGGGAAACCACUCCUUCAGUCUUUCAUACUCAGAAGGCACAAAGUCUUCAUGUUUUAUUAAAUAACUUCUGCAACUUCAUCCACAGUUUCUCAGAAACAAGCAGUUUGAUGGCUAACUAAUACUAUUUGCACAAAAAUUGUUGCAUUUCUAAGAUUACAGACACAAAAAUCAUUCAUUUUUUAAAGCUGAGUUGAAGCCAAAUGAAAAAAAAAAUCAUCACAUUUUUUAUUUUCUGAGGUUUAGCAAUGUUCUAGUAGUGAGGUUCUAGCAUGGAUUUGCUGCUACUAGACAAGACAAGCAAAUUUGAAAAACACAGGACUCCCUGACUUUAUGGUCAGAAAAUUUUAUUUUGUGUAAAUUUCUCAAAAACAAUGGGGGAAAAUAAUUAAAGCAACAUGUUUUUAUUACCUACAGAAUUGUAAAUGCUAUCUACAUGGGGUAGGGCCUACAAUCAGAUGAUUUCUAGAUUUUACUGAUGAGUCAAAAGUACUGUUGCUUUAAGGAAGACCUAUUUUAACAGUGCAUUUACAAUACAGCAUAGUAAAAUAGAACAUUUUUGACAUCUUUAAUG